GGUUGUUGUAGGCAAUGCCUUGGCUUAACUUGCGAAGAAGGAAGAAGCGUACAUCUUUUUUAUGGUAGAACUGUGAUUUUUCAACCUCAUGUCUCUGAACACCAGCACAGCACCUUUAUUGGCGUGCUAUUGUAUGCAGUGGAAUAAAUCCAACGAUUUUCACUUCUACCUCGGACGCGAUGUCAUGUGGUCAGAUGUUGUCUUUAUUAACUAAGUAAAAUGAUAGAUUACUAUGAAAGAGCCCUGAAUACAAUAAGUAAUACCCGACGAACUUAAGCAUAUAAUUAAGCGGAGGAAAUUAAAACAACUGUGAUGCCCAGAGUAGUGGCGAACGAAAUGGGAACAGCACCUUCAAUUAACCGGAUUUAUCUGGUUUGUUUGAUCAGAGCUCGAUGAGUCUGUGCAGAGUUGUCUUUCUGUUGGAAAACAGUGUGGCUGGCGGUGAUGAUCCGCAACAAUUUCUACAUUCGCUUCUUGCUCUGUUUUCUGGAGUAGGCUACUUUCAAAUUGGUGGCUGAACUGCAGGUAACUCUCUGCAAACGCUAAAUAUUCGUUAAGUCCGAUAGUGCAGAAGUACCGUGAGGGAAAGGUGAAAAGACAGCUCAAAAGUUAGUUAACAGACCUGAAUCUACAACAACAGAAGGCUAUGCGUAAUGUUCUGGUCCUCGUGGAGUUCUCUCUCCGUUGUAUCAUCCAUUUUAUUCUUUCUAAGAGGAUCACAUGGUUGCAUUCGUGUAGCGCCCGUCUUGAAACACGGACUGAGGAGUCAUUCAUGCAUGCAAGUCGAUGAUGUUUAUUGCAUCUCAGCGCUAUGAGCAUGUUUGAAUGGACCCGAAAGGUGGUGAACUAUUCUUGGGGAAGUUGACGUCAGAGGAAACUCUGAUUGAGGACUUAUGUGUUACUGACGUGCAAUUCGUUCAUUUUACCUGUGAAUAGGGGCGAAAGACUAAUCGAACCACCUAGUAGCUGGUUCCCCCCGAAGUUUGUCCUAGGAUAGCGGGCGAGAUGUUUUGUCAUGUAUAGUAGAGCAAUGUUUGGCGGAUACGGGCGUGUAUACACUUGACCGACUCACAAACUACAAACGUACAUCUGAGUGGAAUAGUAACAUGUUCUCUCGGUAGAAAUUCUCGCCUCGUGGACCGUUUUUGGUAAGCAGAUGCGGUGCUUUGGAAUGCUCCAAGCGUGAUGAUAAGGAAUAUUUUUAUCGGUUUAUUGCUUCAAAAAGGUGUUAAUACAUUUAGACAGUCCGACGGUGGCCAUGGAAGUUGGAAUCCGCUAAGGAGUGUGUAACAACUCACGGACCGAAUGUGUUAGCCCUUAAAAUUGACUGUGCUUAUACCGUUGAUCCGAGAUGUCACAGAUCUAAUUUGUAUUAGGUUUUGUAGGGGGGUGUAUCUGUUGUGAAAAAGUGUUGUUGUGAUGCAGCAUCGAACUCCAGAUAGUGCAGAUCUCAGUAGGAGUAGCAGUGUUUAAGACUAAACCUUAAAGACGUAUGUAGACAAGGCUUUCAUAGACACAUCAUAUGGCUAUGAGUUAGUCGAUCUUAACACAUCAAGAUGUUGUGGAAAAGGAUAAGGGUUAAUAUUCCCUUGCUUGUUCGAAACUAAUUUGGCGACUCAAUAUUCUUUCACCUUACCGAAAGUACACUAGUAAGUGCGUUUUCUAUGCACUAUGACUAUAUGAUCUCUGUUGAAGAGGAUAAUCCUAAGACGCUGAGUAAGUAUAGGAAAUGAGACGAUUAUUCGUCAACUAGGUGGUCUUGCGGCACUUUUAAGUGUGAGAUAGUAGUUACGAGCAGAUCGUACCAACAACCGCAUCAGGUCUCUGAGGUUCAUAACCUUUCGUUGAUGGAAAAAAAUACGUGAGGGAAGUCGGCAAAUUAAAUCUGUAACCUUGGGAAAAGGAUUGGCUCUGCAGGGGUUUCGAAGAUUUAAUUCUUCAGGCAGUGUUAGGUGUCGACUCUGUUGACCUUAGCUACUACACGUUGAAGUAACUUCGAUCUACGCCAUAGUAGAACUGAGACUACGAGGGGAAUCCGACAGUUUAACUAAAACCAAGCAUUCUGUUAGUGUCAAUAACUAUAGCACAGAAUGUGAAUUCUGCCCGGUGCUUUGAAUGUCAUUGUGAGGAGACUCAUUUAAGCGCGGGUUAACGGCAGGCGUAACUAUGACGCUUUCAACGUAGCAAAAUGCCUCGUCAUCUAAUUAGUGACUCGCAUGAACGGAUUAAUGAGAUUCCUAC
rnacentral:rRNA from 1 species